CCUACGGGAGGCAGCAGUAGGGAAUUUUUCACAAUGGGCGAAAGCCUGAUGGAGCAAAGCCGCGUGCAGGAUGAAGGCCUUCGGGUUGUAAACUGCUUUUAUAAGCGAGAAAUAUGAUGGUAACUUAUGAAUAAGGAUCGGCUAACUACGUGCCAGCAGCCGCGGUCAUACGUAGGAUCCGAGCAUUAUCCGGAGUGACUGGGUGUAAAGAGUUGCGUAGGUGGCAUAAUAAGUAGCUAGUGAAAUCUGGUGGCUCAACCAUUCAGACUAUUAGCUAAACUGUUAAGCUCGAGACCGUUAGUGGUAACUGGAAUUUCUAGUGUAGGAGUGAAAUCCGGAGAUAUUAGAAGGAACACCAAUAGCGUAGGCAGGUUGCUGGGACGGUUCUGACACUAAGGCACGAAAGCGUAGGGAGCAAACGGGAUUAGAUACCCGGGUAGUC
rnacentral:rRNA from 1 species